GAACGCACAUUGCGCUCUCUGGUAUUCCGGAGAGCAUGCUUGUUUGAGUAUCAGUAAAACACCCUCAGCUUUUUCUUUAUUGAAAAAGGUGGACUUGAGUGAUCCCAACGGUUUUUUUAAAAGGCUGGCGGGUUGCUUGAAAUGCAGGUGCGGCUGGACACAUCUUCUGAGCUAUAAGCAUUACCUAUUUAGUCCCGUCAAACGGAUUAUUUCUAUUGCUACAGCUAAUAUAAAGGUCGAUUGUCCUUGUGCCCGACUGAUGCAGGAAAACAUGGAGAAAUCCUUGUUCAACUCGAUCUCAAAUCAAGUAAGACUACCCGCUGAACUUAAG
rnacentral:misc_RNA from 1 species